AUACGUAGGGAGCGAGCGUUGUCCGGAAUUACUGGGUGUAAAGGGUGCGUAGGCGGGACCGUAAGUCAGGCGUGAAAUACCGGAGCUUAACUCCGGGGCUGCGUUUGAAACUAUGGUUCUUGAGUGAAGUAGAGGCAGGCGGAAUUCCUAGUGUAGCGGUGAAAUGCGUAGAUAUUAGGAGGAACACCAGUGGCGAAGGCGGCCUGCUGGGCUUUAACUGACGCUGAGGCACGAAAGCAUGGGGAGC
rnacentral:rRNA from 1 species